GACGUAGGGCGCGAGCGUUGUCCGGAUUUAUUGGGCGUAAAGAGCUCGUAGGCGGCUUGUCGCGUCAACUGUGAAAACCCGUGGCUCAACCAUGUGGUCUGCAGUCGAUACGGGCAGGCUGGAAUUCGGUAGGGGAGACUGGAAUUCCUGGUGUAGCGGUGAAAUGCGCAGAUAUCAGGAGGAACACCGGUGGCGAAGGCGGGUCUCUGGGCCGAUAUUGACGCUGAGGAGCGAAAGCGUGGGGAGCGAACAGG
rnacentral:rRNA from 1 species